rnacentral:pre_miRNA from 1 species
CAAGUACUCCCUUCGUCCGGAAUUACUUGUCAUCAAAAUGGAUGUGUCUAGAACUAAAAUACAUCUAGAUACAUCCAUUUCAAUGACAAGUAUUUUUGGACGGAGGGAGAACAAG